CCUACGGGGGGCUGCAGUGGGGAAUAGUGGGCAAUGGGCGCAAGCCUGACCCAGCAACGCCGCGUGAAGGAAGAAGGCUUUCGGGUUGUAAACUUCUUUUCGCAGGGACGAAGCAAGUGACGGGACCGGAGGAAUAAGCCACGGCUAACUCCGUGCCAGCAGCCGCGGUAAUACGUAGGUGGAAAGCGUUAUCCGGAUUUACUGGGUGUAAAGGGCGGGUAGGCGGGACUGCAAGUCAGAGGGGACAACCCCGGGCUCAACCUGUGGCCUGCAUUGGAAACUGUAGUUCUUGCGUACUGGAGAGGCAGCCGUCAUUCCUCGUGUAGCGGUGAACUGCGUAGAUAUUAGGCG
rnacentral:rRNA from 1 species